rfam:Streptomyces sp. WAC00263 NODE_3882_length_3949_cov_5.866549, whole genome shotgun sequence.
GGGGAUGAUCGGUUUCGACAGCGGCUGUCGAAGCAGGGGAAGCGUGUCGAGGAAGCGACAAUGAUCUCGUUAACCAUAUGUCGCAACCAAUAAUCGCCAAUUCCAAGAGCGAUUCCCAGUCCUUCGCCCUCGCUGCCUAAUAACAGCGACUGAAGGACCCUAAAUGGGUGUCAGCCCGGGGGUGUUCCCGACCCGGACCCUGGCAUAAUCUAGGGAACUAAACCAUUGAGCCCGGUCACGGGGUUCGAUGGGAAAUCAAACAGUGACUGGGCCCGUCGGCGACUUGUUCGCGUGAUCACCGGGGCCGAGAAAAUCACAGCGAACUGCACACGGAGAAGCCCUGAUUCUGCACCGGUGGACGCGGGUUCGAUUCCCGCCAUCUCCACGA